GGGAUACAGCUGGCUAUGAAAGAUUUAACGAAAUUACCCAACCCUAUAUAAAUGGAGCCGAUGGUGUUGUAUUUGUUUAUGACGUAGCGAACGAAACCAAUUUUCAUGCAACAAAGAAACGGAUUGAAGAUCUUAAAGCGAAACUGGGCUUGGAUAAAUGUGAAAUGAUGAUUGUUGGCAAUAAGUGUGAUUUGGAGGAACAAAGGCAAGUGAGCACCCUCAAAGGUUCUGAGCUGGCAAAUGAAUUUGGAGCAAAAUUCUUUGAAGUCAGUGCCAAAACUAACGCUAAUGUUCAGGAGGCAUUUUUCACGUUACUCAGAAACACAAUAGCAAGGAUGGAUGG